AAGCACCAAAUACAAAGCCUGGUCUGUGGUAAGCAUUUCACUUCUCCUCCCCUUGCUCUCUGAGAGAUCCCUUAACAAAGCCAGUGCAUUACAUUUUAUGUAGCAAGCCUUGUAGUAUGAGCACCUAAUCUGUCGACUUCAUACUUUUGAUUCCACAGAGCAACAAGAAGGCCGAGGUCCUUACCCCCAUGAUCAAUAGCGUAUUAUUAGAGGGCUGCAAUAGCACGACGUAUGUGCAGGAUGCAUUCCAGCUACUACUGCCCAUUCUGCAGGUUUCACAUAUCCAGGCCAGUUGCUCGAAAGCACGGCCGUGACCUUGCCAGACUCCAUCUAGUUAAAGGAAAUGGCAGGCCAUGCUGCUUCACUGUAUACCAGUUGAGGGGAUGUUUUCUACGCAUCUGGCCACAGACCCCAUUUGAGGACACUACAAGCAAUUUUGCACAGACAGUAUUGAAAAUGCAAAUUUAAAGAGAGUUAUUAUUUCUCUUAAUGUAUAUGGUUGUUUUUACAAAUAAUUGUGUUUUCUUUAUGUUAAUUUAAACUUGCAUGGCUUACAUUGAAAAUUUCCUUUCAUCUGAAA